rnacentral:rRNA from 1 species
AUUGAACGCUGGCAGCAGGCCUAACACAUGCAAGUCGAACGAGUGGCGGACGGGUGAGUAAUGUCUGGGAAACUGCCUGAUGGAGGGGGAUAACUACUGGAAACGGUAGCUAAUACCGCAUACCAUCGGAUGUGCCCAGAUGGGAUUAGCUAGUAGGUGGGUGAAAGGCUCACAUAGGCGACGAUCCCUAGCUGGUCUGAGAGGAUGACGAGCCACACUGGAACUGCGACACGGUCCAGACUCCUACGGGAGGCAGCAGUGGGGAGUAUUGCACAAUGGGCGCAAGCCUGAUGCAGCCAUGCCGCGUUUAUGAAGAAGGACUUCGGGUUGUAAAGUACUUUCAGCGGGGAGGCGUUACCCGCAGAAGAAGCACCGGCUAACGCCGUGCCAGCAGCCGCGGUAAGUC